CUCCUUGGUUACAAUGCAUUUCAGCUAUCUAAUGAUGAUAACUGGACACUUUCUCUGGCAGCUUCUGCCGAAAAGGAGAAUCAGGAAAAUAGGAGGCGAUUACUGCUAACGAUUUUGCUUCCAAUUACUUCAGUUUUUAUCCUAACAGCCUGCAUGAUUUGUUACUUUCAAAGAAAAGUAAUCAAGAUUAAAGGAUCAAUGCUUCGAAGCAGAAGAAGGAUAACUAUUCCCCAAAACCUUGAAAGCAAUGCUCCAAAUCUGCAAGUUUUGAGCUUUGCCAGCAUCAAAGAGGUUACAAACAACUUUUCUAAUGCAAACAAGCUAGGUGAGGGUGGAUUUGGCCCUGCAUAUAAGGUAAAUAUGUGCGA